rnacentral:rRNA from 1 species
GACGGAGGGGGCAAGCGUUGUCCGGACUCACUGGGCGUAAAGGGUGCGUAGGCGGUUUGGUGCGUCGGCGCUGAAAUCCGUGGGCUUAACCCACGGGGCGCGUGCCGAUACGACUUGACUUGAGGCUCGGAGAGGGUGGGAGAACUCCUGGUGUAGUGGUGAAAUGCGUAGAGAUCAGGAAGAAUACCUGUGGCGCAAGCGCCCACCUGGCC